CAGCAGCCCGGUAAAACGUAGGGUGCGAGCGUUAAUCGGAAUUACUGGGCGUAAAGCGUGCGCAGGCGGUUCGUUAAGACAGAUGUGAAAUCCCCGGGCUUAACCUGGGAACUGCAUUUGUGACUGGCGAGCUAGAGUAUGGCAGAGGGGGGUAGAAUUCCACGUGUAGCAGUGAAAUGCGUAGAGAUGUGGAGGAAUACCGAUGGCGAAGGCAGCCCCCUGGGCCAAUACUGACGCUCAUGCACGAAAGCGUGGGGAGCAAACAGGAUUAGAUACCCGAGUAGUCCCUGUCUCUUAUACA
rnacentral:rRNA from 1 species